AUGGAAGUUCCCAGGCUGGGGUCGAAUCGGAGCUACAGCUGCUGGCCUACACCACAACCACAGCAAUGCCAGAUCUGAGCUGCAUCUGUGACCUACACCACAUCUCAUGGCAAUGGUGAACCCUCAUCCUCAUGGUUCCCAGUCGGAUUUGUUAACCACUGCACCACGGCGGGAACUCCUUUUUUUUUCUUUUGAAUUUGUUGACCCCACAUUUCUCAGAAGCUUCCGUUUACAAAAUUUUCAACAAGCUCACAAACCUACCAGAUUUGCUUCCCAAAAUUCCAAGCUCUGGUUUUCUUUGAGAACAAGGCAAACUGUCUGGAUACACACUUAAAGUUAUAAACAUAGAGGGCACAAAGUCUGAGAGCUUCCAACACUUGGCUCAUCAGAAACACUAGAGAAAGAGAAGAAGGGAGGGAAGGGGUGUGUGUGUGUGUGUGUGUGUGUGUGUGUGAAGGACGUAAAUAUUCGUGUGAUUUCUCUUUCAUGCUAGAAAGCAUCUGGGAUUUGGUACAAGGCUUGAGGCUUGAGAUUGGAGUUGUGUUCUGAAGAAACGAGGGGGACUUGAGAGGGCUGAAAGAGGUAGCACGAUGAAUCUCAAUGUGACAUGUAAACAAAGGAAAUGAGUAAUUGAAAAUAUCCUGUCUGUGUAUUCAUUUUCUGCAUACACGGACAAAGGCCAGGGUAUGAAACAAAUAGUUUCGGCCUUACUGUUACUUUGCUCUAUUAAAAAAAAAAAAAAGUAACAUAGAAGUAUUUCCAUAAAUUUCAUAAAAUUCUAUUCAAGAAGGAAAAAUACCAUACUGUUUUUGUCCACAUUGGAAAAUUCCUUUUCAAAUAGUUUGGGUAAAUUAUUGGGAGACGUGUCAGAGGAUUAAGCUUUCCUGGUUAAACCUAGAAAGUAAAACCUCAUAAAAUGAUGCCUUUGGAGCAGAUUUUGGAGUCAAACAGUUCGAGACAAAUAUUUCAGUGUCCCAUUAUAAGAAUGAUUUCUUGACUUUUAGGCUUGAGGUUUUCCUUUUCUGGGAGAACUGCCCACAUCGGCCUUCUCCUGCCCUUCCCCAGGAUGUGCAGACACAGUGAACUAAGCUCUUCCUGCUAUAAAAAAGACUGUCCAGAGCAAGACUGCCCAUCAGAAAUAGAGCGCCCACUAUGAGUAUAAUUUUCAAUGUUUUAGUAGCCACAUUUAAAAAAGUAAACACAGGAAUUCCCUGGUGGUGCAGUGGGUUGGGGAUCUGGCAUUGUCACUGCUGUGGCAUGGGUUCAGUCCCUGGCCCAGGAUCUUCCACAUGCUGUAGGUGUGGUCAAAAAAAGUAAAAGUAAAUAGAUGAAAUUAACUUUAUUUAUAUAUUUUAUUUAACUCAAUAUAUCCAAAAUACUAUUAAGUUAACAUGUUGAAAGCAGCUCUCUGGCCCCUUUCCUGUUUGGCUUCUUCUGUUCCCCUCUAACCUUUAAAGAACCUAAUUAACCUGUUGAUUCUUUUCCUAGAUAAAAAGAAGCAAGAAUAAAGAAUUAAGCAGUAUAAAAAUGACUAGCUCUCUUCCCCCAGCAUCUCCCUUAGCAAUCUGCAGGCAGAUCAUGGAGGUAAGGUAAUCUGUAGAGUCAACCGGUCUACAUGCAACAAGUAAAGUGGCAAAUUUAAUAAUGUAUCUAAAAGAUGCACAGCCAUAUAUAUGUCUAAUUCUACCUUAACUUUUUCAACCUUUUCUGU
rnacentral:lncRNA from 1 species